GUGUCAGCAGCCGCGGUAAUACGUAGGGUGCGAGCGUUAAUCGGAAUUACUGGGCGUAAAGCGUGCGCAGGCGGUUUGGCAAGUCAGAUGUGAAAUCCCCGAGCUCAACUUGGGAACUGCGUUUGAAACUGCCAGACUAGAAUAUGUCAGAGGGGGGUAGAAUUCCACGUGUAGCAGUGAAAUGCGUAGAGAUGUGGAGGAAUACCAAUGGCGAAGGCAGCCCCCUGGGAUAAUAUUGACGCUCAUGCACGAAAGCGUGGGGAGCAAACAGGAUUAGAUACCCUGGUAGUCCACGCCCUAAACGAUGUCUACUAGUUGUUGGUGGAGUAAAAUCCAUGAGUAACGCAGCUAACGCGUGAAGUAGACCGCCUGGGGAGUACGGUCGCAAGAUUAAA
rnacentral:rRNA from 1 species